rnacentral:rRNA from 1 species
GCGAACGUUAGCGGCAGGCUUAACACAUGCAAGUCGAACGAGAAAAGGGGCUUCGGCUCCCCAGUAAAGUGGCGGACGGGUGAGUAAACACGUGGGUAAUGUACCCUUGGGCAGGGGAUAACAGUCCGAAAGGACUGCUAAUACCGCAUACGUCUGCGAGGUCUGCGGACCUUGUAGAGAAAGAUGGCCACUUCAAGAAAGCUAUCACCCAGGGUUCAGCCCGCGGCCAUCAUGCUAGUUGGGCGGUGUAAAAGACCACCAAGGCGAAGACGGGUAGCUGGUCUGAGAGGAUGAUCAGCCACACUGGAACUGAGACACGGUCCAGACUCCUACGGGAGGCAGCAGUGGGGAAUAUUGGGCAAUGGGCGCAAGCCUGACCCAGCCAUGCCGCGUGAGUGAUGAAGGCCUUCGGGUCGUAAAGCUCUGUGGGGAGGGAAGAAAAUACCCUGGGUAAACAAUCCAGGGAACUGACGGUACCUCCUUAGCAAGCACCGGCUAACUCCUGCCAGCAGCCGCGUUAAUACGCUGAGGGUGCAACGUUGCUCGGAAUCAUUGGCGUAAAGCGCACUUAGGCGUUCGUUAAGUCGGGUGUGAAAGCCCUGGGCUCAACCCAGGAUUCAUCCGAAACUGGCGAGCUGGAGUCUGCAGAGGUACUAGGAAUUCCCGGUUAGGCAGUGAAUGCGUAGAUAUCAGGAUGAACACCGUGCGAAGGCUGGUCUCUGGGCUGACACUGACGCGUAUGCACGAAGCGUGGGAGCAAACAGGAUUAGAUACCUGGUAGUCCACGCUGCCUAAACGAUGGCGACUGGUGUUGCGGUAUUGACCACCUCUCAGUACGAAUCUAACGGCAGUAAGUCGACCGCCUGGGAGUACGGCCGCAAGGUAAACUCAAAGAUUGACGGGGCCCGCCAAGCGGUGGAGCAUGUGGAUUAAUUCGACGCAACGCGAAGAACCUUACCUGCCGUUACAUGCCCGGAAUCCUGCAGAGCUGUGGAAGUGCCCUUAGGGAACGGAGACAGGUGCUGCAUGGCUGUCGUCAGCUCGUGUCGUGAGAUGUUGGGUUAAGUCCCGCAACGAGCGCAACCCUUGUCGAUAGUUGCAGACGGUUCAGGCCGGGGCACUCUAAUGAGACUGCCGGUUACAAACGGAGGAAGGUGGGGAUGACGUCAAGUCCUCAUGGCCCUUAUGUCCAGGGCUACACACGUGAUACAAUGGCCGCGUACAGAGGGCUGCUAAGCCGCGAGGUAGAGCCAACCCCUUAAAGCGCGUCGUAGUCCGGAUUGCAGUCUGCAACUCGACUGCAUGAAGUCGGAAUCGCUAGUAAUCGCGGAUCAGCAUGUCGCGGUGAAUACGUUCCCGGGUCCUUGUACACACCGCCCGUCACACCAUGGGAGUGGUUUCACCAGAAGCCGGUCGCCUAACCGCAAGGGGGGCGCCGACCACGGUGAGAUUCAUGACUGGGGGU